rnacentral:rRNA from 1 species
CCUACGGGCGGCAGCAGUGGGGAAUUUUGCGCAAUGCUCGUAAGAGUGACGCAGCGACGCCGCGUGAAUGACGAAGGCCUUCGGGUCGUAAAGUUCUUUCGACAGGGUAGAAAAUGCCUAUAAGUGACUGUGUUUGUAUUUACGGUACCUGUAUAAGCAGCCCCGGCUAACUCCGGGCCAGCAGCCGCGGUAAUAAGGGGGGGGCGAGCGUUGUUCGGAGGGACGGGGAGUAAAGGGCACGUAGGCGGUGUUGUAAGUCAUUAGUCAAAGACUAGAGCUCAACUUUAGUAAGGCUAGUGAUACUAUAAUACUAUAGUAUCAGAGAGGAAUGCAGAAUUCCUGGUGUAGCGGUGAAAUGCGUAGAUAUCAGGAGGAAUACCGUUAGCGAAGGCGGCAAUCUGGCUGGAAACUGACGCUGAGGUGCGAAAGCGUGGGUAGCAAACAGGAUUAGAUACCCUGGUAGUC